rnacentral:rRNA from 1 species
GGGUUGUGAGGUUAAGCGACUAAGCGUACACGGUGGAUGCCCUGGCAGUCAGAGGCGAUGAAGGACGUGCUAAUCUGCGAUAAGCGUCGGUAAGGUGAUAUGAACCGUUAUAACCGGCGAUUUCCGAAUGGGGAAACCCAGUGUGAUUCGUCACACUAUCAUUAACUGAAUCCAUAGGUUAAUGAGGCGAACCGGGGGAACUGAAACAUCUAAGUACCCCGAGGAAAAGAAAUCAACCGAGAUUCCCCCAGUAGCGGCGAGCGAACGGGGAGCAGCCCAGAGCCUGAAUCAGUGUGUGUGUUAGUGGAAGCGUCUGGAAAGGCGCGCGAUACAGGGUGACAGCCCCGUACACAAAAAUGCACAUACUGUGAGCUCGAUGAGUAGGGCGGGACACGUGGUAUCCUGUCUGAAUAUGGGGGGACCAUCCUCCAAGGCUAAAUACUCCUGACUGACCGAUAGUGAACCAGUACCGUGAGGGAAAGGCGAAAAGAACCCCGGCGAGGGGAGUGAAAAAGAACCUGAAACCGUGUACGUACAAGCAGUGGGAGCACGCUUAGGCGUGUGACUGCGUACCUUUUGUAUAAUGGGUCAGCGACUUAUAUUCUGUAGCAAGGUUAACCGAAUAGGGGAGCCGAAGGGAAACCGAGUCUUAACUGGGCGUUAAGUUGCAGGGUAUAGACCCGAAACCCGGUGAUCUAGCCAUGGGCAGGUUGAAGGUUGGGUAACACUAACUGGAGGACCGAACCGACUAAUGUUGAAAAAUUAGCGGAUGACUUGUGGCUGGGGGUGAAAGGCCAAUCAAACCGGGAGAUAGCUGGUUCUCCCCGAAAGCUAUUUAGGUAGCGCCUCGUGAAUUCAUCUCCGGGGGUAGAGCACUGUUUCGGCAAGGGGGUCAUCCCGACUUACCAACCCGAUGCAAACUGCGAAUACCGGAGAAUGUUAUCACGGGAGACACACGGCGGGUGCUAACGUCCGUCGUGAAGAGGGAAACAACCCAGACCGCCAGCUAAGGUCCCAAAGUCAUGGUUAAGUGGGAAACGAUGUGGGAAGGCCCAGACAGCCAGGAUGUUGGCUUAGAAGCAGCCAUCAUUUAAAGAAAGCGUAAUAGCUCACUGGUCGAGUCGGCCUGCGCGGAAGAUGUAACGGGGCUAAACCAUGCAC